CAGGGAGCAAUUUCCUCUUCCAGGCCUUCCAGGCUGGGAGGAAGCUGUGUACCGGAACUGGGCAGAGCUGCAGGCAUGAAAGAAGGGCCUGGGAGGGAAGAGAAGAAUAUACAACCCAGCCUCUUGUCUUAGGCGGCUCGGGCUGCUGCAAUAAAAAACCCCAGACUGGGUGACUUCAACAACAGAAAUUUAUUUGUUCACAUUUCCGGAGGCUGGAAGUCCAAAAUCAAGGUCCAGCAGGGCUCAGCCUCUGGGGAGCUUUCUCUUCCAGGCUUGCAGAUAGUUGCUUUGUCCUUACAUGACCUCUCCUCUGAGCUGUGUGUGGUGAGGCAGGGAAGGAGGGAGGGAGAGAGUGAGGGAGAAAGAGAAAGAGGGAGAAGGAGAGAGACAGAUCUCUUCCUCUUCUCCUAAAGCCACCAAUCUCGUAGCAUUAGGAACCCGCCCUUAUAACCUCAUUUAACCUAAGUUACUUCCUGACUCCAAAUACAGCCAUACAAGGGGUGAGAGCUUCAAGAUAGGAGUUUUGAGGGGACACGUGUUUAGUCCAUAUCACCUCUUUACCUCUCAUCUCCUGACGGUGUCUCCCCCUCUCAUGGCCCAACCCGACAGGAAGCCAGAGGGUGGGGAGCCGAGAUGAUGCUGUCUACGUAGAGCAGCCUCUGACCACAGAGUGGGGAAGAGAAAGCUGUACUAUAGAUGGGAGGUGGGGAAGGGCAGGGAGGCAAACAGAGAGCAAUCAAGACAAGGGAGAAGUGUAGAAAAUGUAGCUGAAGAGAAAAAAAGUUGCUUAUAGAACUGUCCAUGAGGAAAAUGAGAAUAUGCCUUGUUUUAAAACCUCAAAGGACUGAUUCACACUCUUAUUUAGUGGAAAUACAUCAAGAGACUGCAAGCUUAACUUUCUCACAAACACAUACAUCUAAAAAUAGCCUUUUGGAAUCUAAUUUAUUGGUAAGCAAAGGAUUGCAGCAUUUGACUUACAAUUAAGGUGUCACCUCCAAGUUAAUCAUAGGUCCAUGGUUUGAAUAGCUUAGAUUCUCAACUUUCCAGAACAUUUAGUAAGCGCUUGUGAAAAAGCUAAGAGCUCUGAAGGAUAGAGGGGUUUAUAGAAGAUGUGAGACUGGUACCCUAAUGCCUUCGUCAGGAUCAGUAUGGAGCAGACCCUCAGGACUGCAGAAGCAAGAUCAAUUCCUUUUGACAGGAAUGACCAGUCAAAGACAUGAUGCAAAAGGCAGCAUUUAAGACCUGGGUCCAGACGUUGGGAGCAAUCCGGUGGCCUGAUGCAGACUGAGCUUAAUAGAAUAUUUUGUAUAGAAUGUGUGGCACUUGCCUUGGAUGAAUCUAUGUGGUUGGAUCACCUAAAGCGAUACUCAUUGAGCUUACAAUACAUGUCAUAAACAUGCUUCUUUAUAAACGUUUGUUUCAUAAAUGUUGGGCUGUGUGUUCUGAGGCUUGCGUUCAUUACGACUUAGUAGCAGAGUUGUAGAGGCGCUAACCCUCACCCACCUCUAAUCCUCAGGAACAACCAUUAUCUACUAAACUUAACUAAGAUAUUUGUUCAAGGUGGGCGUUAUCUGUCAUCACCCAAGAGGAUAAUACACUGUAAAUGUCAUAGCAAGUUGGUGAUUUAAGUCACUCAAAA
rnacentral:lncRNA from 1 species